rnacentral:misc_RNA from 1 species
ACAAGAAUUUGCUUAAAAAUAGGCCUAUUUUUGAUAGGGUUAUUGUUAUUUCAGCUGGGGUAAUAGCUAAUAUAAUCUUUGCUUAUGUGAUAAUAUUUACACAAGUCUUAUUAGUUGGAUUGCCUGUGCAAGAAUCCUUCCCUGGGGUUCUUGUGCCUGAUGUUAGACCUUUUUCAGCUGCAUCUAGAGAUGGAUUGCUUCCUGGUGAUGUAAUUUUAGGUGUUAAUGGAAUUGAUUUUGGGAAAAAUGGGCCUAGUUUGGUUACUGAGGUUGUUGAUGUCAUCAAGAGAAGUCCCAAGAGAAAUGUUUUGCUGAAGAUAGGGAGAGGAGGAGGGAAUGUUGAUGUUAGAGUUACACCUGAUGAGAAUUCGGAUGGUACGGGUAGGAUUGGAGUUCAACUGUCACCGAAUUUCAAGAUUUCGAAAGUUCAGCCAAAGAAUAUACUUGAGGCAUUUAGCUUCUCAGGGAGAGAGUUUUGGGGUCUCACAUAUAGUGUUUUGGACAGCUUGAAACAGACAUUUAUGAACUUCUCACAAACGGCUAGUAAGGUAUCAGGUCCUGUUGCCAUCAUAGCUGUUGGUGCAGAAGUUGCGAAAUCAAACGUUGAUGGUCUUUAUCAAUUUGCUGCUGUUCUGAAUAUCAACCUUGCUGUGAUAAAUCUCCUUCCUUUGCCAGCUUUGGAUGGGGGCACUUUGGCAUUGAUUCUCGUAGAAGCAGCUAGAGGUGGAAAAAAACUUCCUUUAGAAGUAGAGCAAGG